GACGAACGCUGGAGGCGUGCUUAACACAUGCAAGUCGAACGAUGAAAUGGAGCUUGCUCCAUGGAUUAGUGGCGAACGGGUCAGUAACACGUGAAUAACCUGCCCUUAAUUUUGGAAUAACCCAGGGAAACCUGGGCUAAUACCGGAUAAGUAAACCUGUGGCAUCACAUGGUUUUGGAAAGUUUUUCGAUUAAGGAUGGAUUCGCGGCCUAUCAGCUUGUUGGUGAGGUAAUGGCUCACCAAGGCGACGACGGGUAGCCGGCCUGAGAGGGUGAACGGCCACACUGGGACUGAGACACGGCCCAGACUCCUACGGGAGGCAGCAGUGGGGAAUAUUGCGCAAUGGACGAAAGUCUGACGCAGCGACGCCUCGUGAGGGACGAAGGUCUUCGGAUUGUAGACCUCUUUCAGCAGGGACGAAGCGAAAGUGACGAUACCUGCAGAAGAAGCACCGGCUAACUAUGUGCCAGCAGCCGCGGUAA
rnacentral:rRNA from 1 species